rnacentral:rRNA from 1 species
UUGAACGCUGGCGGCAUGCUUUACACAUGCAAGUCGAACGGCAGCGGGGAGGAGCUUGCUUCUCUGCCGGCGAGUGGCGAACGGGUGAGUAAUACAUCGGAACGUGUCGAGAAGAGGGGGAUAACCACCCGAAAGGGUGGCUAAUACCGCAUAAAUUCUGAGGAAGAAAGCUGGGGACCUAGGAAUAGGCCUAGCGCUUUUUGAGCGGCCGAUGUCGGAUUAGCUAGUUGGUGAGGUAAAGGCUCACCAAGGCGAAGAUCUGUAGCGGGUCUGAGAGGAUGAUCCGCCACACUGGGACUGAGACACGGCCCAGACUCCUACGGGAGGCAGCAGUGGGGAAUUUUGGACAAUGGGGGCAACCCUGAUCCAGCCAUGCCGCGUGUAUGAAGAAGGCCUUAGGGUUGUAAAGUACUUUUGUUAGAGAAGAAAAGUCAGCUGUGAAUAAUGGCUGAUACUGACGGUACCUAAAGAAUAAGCACCGGCUAACUACGUG